GGAUAACUUACCCUUAGGACUGGGAUAACUCUGGGAAACUGGGGAUAAUACUGGAUAUUAGGCUAUGCCUGGAAUGGUUUGCCUUUGAAAUGUUUUUUUUCGCCUAAGGAUAGGUCUGCGGCUGAUUAGGUCGUUGGUGGGGUAAUGGCCCACCAAGCCGAUGAUCGGUACGGGUUGUGAGAGCAAGGGCCCGGAGAUGGAACCUGAGACAAGGUUCCAGACCCUACGGGGUGCAGCAGGCGCGAAACCUCCGCAAUGUACGAAAGUGCGACGGGGGGAUCCCAAGUGUUAUGCUUUUUUGUAUGACUUUUCAUUAGUGUAAAAAGCUUUUAGAAUAAGAGCUGGGCAAGACCGGUGCCAGCCGCCGCGGUAACACCGGCAGCUCGAGUGGUAGCUGUUUUUAUUGGGCCUAAAGCGUUCGUAGCCGGUUUGAUAAGUCUUUGGUGAAAGCCUGUAGCUUAACUAUAAGAAUUGCUGGAGAUACUAUUAGACUUGAAGUCGGGAGAGGUUAGAGGUACUACCGGGGUAGGGGUGAAAUCCUAUAAUCCUGGGAGGACCACCUGUGGCGAAGGCGUCUAACUGGAACGAUCUUGACGGUGAGUAACGAAAGCCAGGGGCGCGAACCGGAUUAGAUACCCGGGUAGUCCUGGCCGUAAACGAUGUGGACUUGGUGUUGGAAUGGCUUUGAGUUGUUCCGGUGCCGAAGGGAAGCUGUUAAGUCCACCG
rnacentral:rRNA from 1 species